rnacentral:rRNA from 1 species
CUCAUGACGGACGCUUCGGUUGAAGUCACGAGUGGAAAGCGGCGGACGGGUGAGUAACGCGUAGGCAACCUGCCCUUUGCAGAGGGAUAGCCUCGGGAAACCGGGAUUAAAACCUCAUAAUACCGCAGUGAGACAUCUCACGGCGGUCAAAGAUUUAUCGGCAAAGGAUGGGCCUGCGUCUGAUUAGUUAGUUGGUGGGGUAACGGCCUACCAAGGCGACGAUCAGUAGCCGACCUGAGAGGGUGAUCGGCCACAUUGGAACUGAGACACGGUCCAAACUCC